UACGUAGGGUGCAAGCGUUAAUCGGAAUUACUGGGCGUAAAGCGUACGCAGGCGGCUUUGCAAGACAGGUGUGAAAUCCCCGGGCCUAACCUGGGAACUGCAUUUGUGACUGCAUGGCUAGAGUUUGUCAGAGGGGGGUGGAAUUCCACGUGUAGCAGUGAAAUGCGUAGAGAUGUGGAGGAACACCGAUGGCGAAGGCAGCCCCCUGGGACCUGACUGACGCUCAUGUACGAAAGCGUGGGGAGCAAACAGG
rnacentral:rRNA from 1 species